AGGACCAGAGGCUGGAGAGUAAAAAGAACUGGAGGACUACCUGUCACAAUAUGGGUACCUACAGAAGCCUCUAGAAAGAUCUAAUAACUUCAAACCAGAAGAUAUCACCGAGGCUCUGAGAGCUUUUCAGGAAGCAUCUGAACUUCCAGCCUCAGGUCAGCUGGAUGAUGCCAC
rnacentral:sRNA from 1 species